AUACACGAACAACCUUUUUCUAAGCCCCAAAGCUCGUGCUAAAUUUAAUCGCCGCUAGUGUUGCAGUUUAUCCUUUUGUACCGUCUAUCCAUGGCUAAUUUGUAUCAAAUAAACGGCAAAAUCU
rnacentral:snoRNA from 1 species